rnacentral:rRNA from 1 species
GCAAAACGCGAAGAACCUUACCAGCUUUUGACAUGUCCGGUUUGAUCGGCAGAGAUGCCUUUCUUCAGUUCGGCUGGCCGGAACACAGGUGCUGCAUGGCUGUCGUCAGCUCGUGUCGUGAGAUGUUGGGUUAAGUCCCGCAACGAGCGCAACCCUCGCCCCUAGUUGCCAUCAUUCAGUUGGGAACUCUAGGGGGACUGCCGGUGAUAAGCCGCGAGGAAGGUGGGGAUGACGUCAAGUCCUCAUGGCCCUUACAGGCUGGGCUACACACGUGCUACAAUGGCGGUGACAAUGGGCAGCGAAAGGGCGACCUCGAGCUAAUCCCAAAAAGCCGUCUCAGUUCAGAUUGCACUCUGCAACUCGAGUGCAUGAAGGUGGAAUCGCUAGUAAUCGUGGAUCAGCAUGCCACGGUGAAUACGUUCCCGGGUCUUGUACACACC